rnacentral:lncRNA from 1 species
CGGUUGAGAAAAUGUAGUGCCAAAAGAAAGCGCGGUCUGACAGUGAUGUAAAGUGGUGUGAAUUUUACCUAUACAACGUACACUUGAACUGUUAUAGAUUUUUUUUUAGGUGAGCCUUGUUUUAGGUGUCUAAUUUCGCUUUUUCUCUGGACCCCGUUCACUGCAGUACAAAGCUGAGCGUCUGGGCUUAAAGUAUAUGAUCUGUCACUAAUUGCUCUCCAUUCUUUUUCAGAGGCAGUUUAAACAAGGACAGUGAUCCCUGGAGCAGGCUGUUGAGCCGUGUGCCACAGCCGCUGAUGUGCAGAGGACAGUGACGUUACCAAGCACCCCCUGCUUGAUUGUCCAAGGUACUGUUGAUAUCUGGAUUUUAUAUUGAUAUUUCGAGCUGUAUGUGGUUAUUUUAAAAAUGAACAAAAAAUUCACUACAUGAUCAUUUCACAUAAUUUGUUUAUUAGUCUUUUUAAAGGC